UGCCUGAGGAGAGUGGUCAACGUUUAAUAGA
rnacentral:piRNA from 1 species